GAGGGAACCGGUGGGGGGCACGGACUCCCCGUACGGGGAGUCCGUGCCCCCCCGGUUCCCUC
ensembl:miRNA MIR12233 microRNA mir-12233